CUCUGGCCUUUGUCUUGUAUGAUUUUCAAUUUUAGUUUCUUGUGUAUAAUUCGGGAUUUAGUAUGAUGUCCAUUAUCACUGAACUAGUAUACAUAUUUGUUUAGGGGCCAGCUGAAGGACGCCUCCAGGUGCGGGAGUUUCUCUCGCUACAUUGAAGACCCAUUGGUGGCCUUUGGUUGUUGUCUGCACUAUGGUCGGGUUAUUGUCGCUUUGACACAUUCCCCAUUUCCCUUCUCAAUUUUAUGUAUACCUUUUCGUACGUAUAUUCGUAUAUUUAUUCAUUUACGGUUAUUCCAGCUAUUGGGUUUGUACAUACAGACGUUAAAAAACACAAAAAGUAUCAUAAAAAAAUUUGGGAUACACUGUACUUUUACUGUACCUAGAGAAAAUGCAUUUA
rnacentral:lncRNA from 1 species